AUUCUUAUAGCUUAUAAAGAGUAUAGCAUUGAAGAUGCUAAGGAGAUUAAUGAAAUCUAAGAAUA
rnacentral:tRNA from 1 species